rnacentral:rRNA from 1 species
AUUGAACGCUGGCGGCAGGCCUAACACAUGCAAGUCGAGCGGAGCGGCGGACGGGUGAGUAAUGCCUAGGAAUCUGCCUGGUAGUGGGGGAUAACGUCCGGAAACGGGCGCUAAUACCGCAUACUAUCAGAUGAGCCUAGGUCGGAUUAGCCAGGUGGUGGGGUAAAGGCCUACCAAGUCGACGAUCCGUAACUGGUCUGAGAGGUUGAUCAGUCACACUGGAACUGAGAAACUGUCCAGACUACUAAGGAGGGCAGCAGUGGUGAAUAUUGGGUAAUGGGCGAGAGCCUAAUCCAGCCAUGCAGCGUGUGCGAUGAAGGCCUGCGGGUUGUAAAGCACUUUUGGCAGGAAAGCGGUACCCGCAGAAGAAGCACCGGCUAACUCCGUGCCAGCAGCCGCGGUAAUAC